rnacentral:rRNA from 1 species
GACGAACGCUGGCGGCGUGCUUAACACAUGCAAGUCGAACGGAAAGGCCCUGCUUUUGUGGGGUGCUCGAGUGGCGAACGGGUGAGUAACACGUGAGUAACCUGCCCUUGACUUUGGGAUAACUUCAGGAAACUGGGGCUAAUACCGGCUAGGAGCUCCUGCUGCAUGGUGGGGGUUGGAAAGUUUCGGCGGGUGGGGAUGGACUCGCGGCUUAUCAGCUUGUUGGUGGGGUAGUGGCUUACCAAGGCUUUGACGGGUAGCCGGCCUGAGAGGGUGACCGGCCACAGUGGGACUGAGAUACGGCGCAGACACCGAGGGGAGGCAGCAGUGGGGAAUAUGGCACAAUGGGCGGAAGCGUGAGGCAGCAGCGCCGCGUGCGGGAUGAGGGCCGUCGGGUUGUAAACCGCUUUCGCCUGUGACGAAGCGUGAGUGACGGUAACGGGUAAAGAAGCACCGGCUAACUACGUG